rnacentral:rRNA from 1 species
AUGGGUAAGGAUAAGGUAAUGGAAUUGAUAGAGAAAUUCAUAGACCUAGGUAGGAUAGGAAAAUUGAUAAAGGGAAUAGAGAUGAUGAUAGAGAUUAUACUGAGAAAGAGGAUAAUUCCGUACGGGUACAACUCUUAUUUGAACGAAGUGAAAAAAAUGCGAUCUUUUUUGUCUAAUAGAACAAACACUAAUACCUUAAUUGAGUCGGUAAAGAUCAAAUCUUUUUAUCAAAGUGCUUCUCUGAUUGCUCAAGACAUCUCUUUUCAACUGAGGAACAAUCCAAUCUCAUUUCGUUCCAUUUUUAGUAAAAUAGUGAAGGAUAUUCCAUUAAUAAUGCCAAAAGGGGUGGAGGGGAUACGUAUUUGUUGUUCUGGUCGAUUAGGGGGUGCGGAAAUAGCUAGAACUGAAUGCAGAAAGUAUGGAAAAACAUCUUGUAAUGUAUUUAACCAGAAAAUCGAUUAUGCUCCCGCGGAAGUAUCUACUCGUAACGGAAUUUCAGGUGUCGAAGUGCGGAUCUCAUAUAGUCAAAAUAAGAAGGGACGUGCUAUAUCCGAAACGUACGAAAUAUAG